UUAUUUGCUUGACUAUUUUAUAUCCUCUCUAAUAGAUUGUGAUUCCUAUGAGGGUUGGAUCCGCUUUUAUUUAACCUUGUACUACCUUAUUCUCAUUGGCAAAAUAGGUAGAUGGUAGGUGCCCAAUACAAUACACUACUUAUUAAAUGAUGAAAAGCAGCAUAUUUCAUGGAGGAAGACAUCUUUGAAUAUGGACUUCACCAUGGCUUGGUUAGCUAAGAGUGUGACUGGAGCUGUAACCGGAAUCCAGCUGUCCCAGGCACUAGAAGAAA